UACGUAGGGUGCAAGCGUUGUCCGGAAUUAUUGGGCGUAAAGAGCUCGUAGGCGGUUCGUCACGUCGGCUGUGAAAUCCCGAGGCUCAACCUCGGGUCUGCAGUCGAUACGGGCGGACUGGAGUACUGCAGGGGAGACUGGAAUUCCUGGUGUAGCGGUGAAAUGCGCAGAUAUCAGGGAGGAACACCGGUGGCGAAGGCGGGUCUCUGGGCAGUAACUGACGCUGAGGAGCGAAAGCAUGGGGGAGCGAACAGG
rnacentral:rRNA from 1 species